GACGAAGGGGGCUAGCGUUGUUCGGAAUCACUGGGCGUAAAGCGCACGUAGGCGGACUUUUAAGUCAGAGGUGAAAUCCCAAGGCUCAACCUUGGAACUGCCUUUGAUACUGGAAGUCUUGAGUUCGGGAGAGGUGAGUGGAACUGCGAGUGUAGAGGUGAAAUUCGUAGAUAUUCGCAAGAACACCAGUGGCGAAGGCGGCUCACUGGCCCGAUACUGACGCUGAGGUGCGAAAGCGUGGGGAGCAAACAGG
rnacentral:rRNA from 1 species